GAUGAACGCUAGCGGCAGGCCUAACACAUGCAAGUCGAGGGAGGAGCUUUCGGGCUUCGACCGGCGUACGGGUGCGUAACGCGUAUACAAUCUGCCUUUCACAUAGGGAUAGCCCGAAGAAAUUUGGAUUAAUACCUAAUGGUAUAUAGAGGUGGCAUCACCUUUAUAUUAAAGCUGAGGCGGUGAAAGAUGAGUAUGCGCUCUAUUAGCUAGUUGGAGAGGUAACGGCUCCCCAAGGCGACGAUAGAUAGGGGUUCUGAGAGGGAUAUCCCCCACACUGGUACUGAGAUACGGACCAGACUCCUACGGGAGGCAGCAGUGAGGAAUAGUGGGCAAUGGUCGGAAGACUGAUCCAGCCAUGCCGCGUGCAGGAAGACGGCCUUAUGGGUUGUAAACUGCUUUUGCAGGGGAAGAAUAAGGACUACGCGUAGUUUGAUGACGGUACUCUGCGAAUAAGCAUCGGCUAACUCCGUG
rnacentral:rRNA from 1 species